rnacentral:hammerhead_ribozyme from 1 species
AAGCGAAACCGCCCCGGCCUGGCCGGGGCGGUCUGCCCAGCGUGGUGGCUGGGUACUGAUGAGCAGCCACAC